rnacentral:lncRNA from 1 species
UUAAUUGCAUGAGAUAUAAUUUUAUAAAUGAAAAUGCGUACCCGAAAUAAUUAUAAACGUGUCGUUUCAAACUUCUAGGACGAAUUUGAAAUUCUCACAUAAGGAAUGCAUCGACAUUUUUGGCAGCACAAAAACAAACUUAAUCAUAUCUUUAGCAUCCGAUGUCCGAUUUUGUUGAUUCAAUAUGAUCCGAAUAGCCAA